GUUUCCGUAGUGUGGCGGUCAUCACGUGCGCCUAACACGCGCAAGGUACCCAGUUCGAUCCUGGGUGAAACA
rnacentral:tRNA from 1 species